rnacentral:rRNA from 1 species
UACGUAGGGUGCGAGCGUUGUCCGGAAUUAUUGGGCGUAAAGGGCUCGUAGGCGGUUUGUCGCGUCGGGAGUGAAAACUCAGGGCUUAACCCUGAGCCUGCUUCCGAUACGGGCAGACUAGAGGUAUGCAGGGGAGAGCGGAAUUCCUGGUGCAGCGGUGAAAUGCGCAGAUAUCAGGAGGAACACCGGUGGCGAAGGCGGUUCUCUGGGCAUUACCUGACGCUGAGGAGCGAAAGUGUGGGGAGCGAACAGG